rnacentral:rRNA from 1 species
AGUAACGCGUAGGAACCUAUCGCACAGUGGGGGAUAACACUGGGAAACCGGUGCUAAUACCGCAUGUGGUCAGUGAUGAAGAAAGCAGCAAUGCGCUGUGUGAGGGGCCUGCGUCCGAUUAGCUGGUUGGUGGGGUAACGGCCUACCAAGGCGACGAUCGGUAGCUGGUCUGAGAGGAUGGUCAGCCACACUGGGACUGAGAUACGGCCCAG